CCCCUCUCUCUUCCGAUCGCAGGUGUCGACAUUUUGAGAAGGGAGAGAAAAGAGAUCGGACCGAAGCGACGGGGAACUGCACGGGCCUGCGCCGCAGGGCUCACUCUCCGGCGAUGGCCGUAGCCUCCUCUGCUGCCGCUUCCUCUGCCGCAUACAGCCCAACAAACGCCUGCUUUGAUCCGCCGCCACCGCUCCGGCUCUCUGGGGAGCAGCUGAAACACUGCUCUGAAGCCCUCGCUUUCUUCAAGAAGAAGCUCAGAACCCCUGCCAAGAUCCAUCAAGAGUUUGAUCGCCUCCAGGAGUUGAGGUUUACCAAGGAUGAAAUGAUGAGAAAGUGUUCUGUGGCUCUGCAAUAUCUAAAUCUACAGAAAAACCGUUACACGGAUGUUUUACCAUUCGAUGGCAACCUGAUCGCUCUCGGUUCUAGGAGGGAAAGCAGCUCGAAGGGGAAUGGUUAUAUCAAUGCAAGCUUUAUUGGGGUUGCUUCUGGUGAAAAUGUUUCACAGUUUAUUGCUACGCAAGGUCCACUUCCUGAAACAUGUGAAGAUUUCUGGGAAAUGAUAUUUCAGUAUCGUUGUCCUGUAAUUGUAAUGCUAACCCUUGCUGAUAAUCACAAGAUGAUGAGAAAAUGUGCCAAUUAUCUUCCAGCAAACAAUGGGUGUGGACAAUUUGGGAGAGUCAGUGUUGAGAUCAAGUAUACAAGUAAUGUUUCUUCAUUAGUUCUUCGUUGCUUGGAGGUGAAACACAGAGAGUUGGUGAUGCCAUCCCUUUCUGUUCUCCACAUCCAAUAUCCUGAAUGGCCUGAUCAUGGAGUGCCUAGUGAUACUUCAGCAGUUCGAGAAAUUUUAAAAAGGACAUAUCAUGUCCCACCCAAAGAUGGCCCUAUUGUUGUGCAUUGCAGUGCAGGUAUUGGAAGAACUGGUACAUAUUGUGCCAUACACAACACAAUCCAAAGGCUUCUCAUUGGUGAUAUGUCCUCCUUAGACCUCAUGAAAACUGUUGCUGAGUUCAGAUCUCAACGGAUUGGGAUGGUCCAGACAUUGGUAUCCUAUUUUAGAUUCUCAAUCAUGUUUUCUACCUAGUAGCAUACGAGUUCACCAGAGCAAUACUUAUUUUGUCACGAUGCAAUUGUGGAUGAAAUAGAGGAUCUUAUCCAAAAGUCCAAAUCCGAAGCUCAUGAAGAUUUCCAUGAAGGAAGAAGGGAUAUGAAGCCUUGAAGUACUUCAGUUUCCUGCACAUCUCCCAGAUGUUGCAGCAAGAGCUUAAAAUCAGGAUAUUUGCAUGCCUUCUUUAUGGCUUUCAGGAGGCUACUCAUUGCCAUGUUUCCAUAGAUUCUUACAACAAUGACAAAAGAGUCGAUCGGAUCCGAUCCAAGAUCUAUUCCCUUUAGAUUGGACAUUAUUGAUUUUCCAAAUCCAGAGGAUUCUUUGUAGGUGGUAUCUGUGGGUGGUUAGUUAAGCAACCAGGCUAAUUGAUUCGUUGUGAGAUAGUAUUGUCCAUUGCUUUGACUUGUAUGACAUGCCAUAAUAUUAAAUCAGCUUCUUGUUAA